GAUCUUCCCAACCCAGGGAUUGAACCCAGGUCUCCCGCAUUGCAGGUGGAGUCUUCACCUGCUGAGUCACCAGGGAAGCCCAUAUAAAGUAGGAAACAGCUGGUUAUUUACAACUAUUUAGCAUUUCUUUUGACCCUAUUGUAUCCUAACUCAGCCUAAAAUCUCUCCAUUCCCACACCAUCUUUGAGUGCACUGGGGACGAGGAUGGUCUUUACUCCAUUAAAACCUAGAAAAUCAAAGAAACAAGACUGUGCUAUCAGGAUGAAUUAAACAGAGUGAAGCCAAAGGGGCACAUCUUCCUACAGAGUAUACAUUGGUUUCAAGUUUUCACUGAAGAGAAGAGCCAGAAAGAAAGGAAUAUUUAUGGAAUUUUAACUCCUGCAACAAUCCUGUGGGGCAGACUUAUCAUCUCCAUUGACUGAUGAGGAAACUGAUAUGUGGGUUUCCAAGAAGUUG
rnacentral:lncRNA from 1 species